rnacentral:rRNA from 1 species
GAUGAACGCUGGCGGCGUGCCUAAUGCAUGCAAGUCGAGCGAACAGACGAGGAGCUUGCUCCUCUGACGUUAGCGGCGGACGGGUGAGUAACACGUGGAUAACCUACCUAUAAGACUGGGAUAACUUCGGGAAACCGGAGCUAAUGCCGGAUAAUAUAUUGAACCGCAUGGUUCAAUAGUGAAAGACGGUUUUGCUGUCACUUAUAGAUGGAUCCGCGCCGCAUUAGCUAGUUGGUAAGGUAACGGCUUACCAAGGCAACGAUGCGUAGCCGACCUGAGAGGGUGAUCGGCCACACUGGAACUGAGACACGGUCCAGACUCCUACGGGAGGCAGCAGUAGGGAAUCUUCCGCAAUGGGCGAAAGCCUGACGGAGCAACGCCGCGUGAGUGAUGAAGGUCUUCGGAUCGUAAAACUCUGUUAUUAGGGAAGAACAAAUGUGUAAGUAACUAUGCACGUCUUGACGGUACCUAAUCAGAAAGCCACGGCUAACUACGUG